CUCCCGGGCGCGCGCAGCUGUUAACCUCUCGCUUUAGGAAGCUAAAGACAAGCUCCUGUUACCGUUUUUCAAUUAGCAGCUUGGUUUUCACUGGAAUCAUAAACAAAGGUUCUCUAUAAGCAUAGGGCAAUGAAAACACAUCUGCCCGGUGUCUCCUUACCUGGUUUAAUCGUCGCCAGCCCCAAGUCACGGCCUAGGCCCUUUCUUCUCACUUGAGUGGAAUCCCGCCGCCUGGUUUCGGGCAAGCGAAGGGCUGAUGUCAGCUGCUCAUUUAGUGUCCUCUGGCCGCAGGAGCUCUGGAAAUCUCUGCUCGAACUUUAUUCUGCCAAGAAGCGGGGAAGGGGCCCGGGUCCUGAUCUAUCUAGCAAGUUGGAAAGAUAGCAGAGGAAAAGCCAAAAUAAACACUUUCUGGUUGCCCAGGAAGAAAGGGUGGGAACUUAGCCCGCGGCGGAAACUCCUGACCCACAGAUGACCCCUGAGAAUGAAGCAUUGGAAGUGAUAUCCUCUGACUGUGCAGUUUCAGAGAAGGGGCUGCUGUUUCCCAGUCACGCUCGGAUGUCUGAUUGUCAGCUUUAUGUCUCAGGAAGUAUUCCCCGCAAUUCAGGCUCCUGGGAGGAUGCCUCUUCGGCUGAGGAAGUGCAGUUGUCUGGUCCCGACUGAGGAGACCACUGGUUCAGAGCACCUGGGGUUCAGGCAGGACAGAGUUUGAAUCUGGUUCUGCCAUUUACCAUCUGUGUGAGUUUAGGUUAAGUCGCUGAAAUUCUCAGAGCCUCGCUUUUGUCAUCUGCAGAACUAGGUAAUGACGGCGCUUACCUCAGAGGGUUGUGCUGAGAACUCAGCGAGGUAUUGGUAGGUACCAAGCCCAGGGUCAGGAAGGAGUAAGUUCCCCCAAAGCAGGAUUUUUAUGAUUUUAUUAUUUUUAAUCCUCAUAGUUUUCCUCACAUCACUCAGACUCAGGUCACCCUUUCUCUAAAAUGAUGUUUUUCCCCUCUGUGCCACACUGAAUGUCAGUGUGGACCGCUUUCCAGGACUUGAAAAUGAUUCGGCAAAGUGAACCUUUUGGUUAAUGUUGUUUACUGGAGUGGGAUUUGAGCUGCAGCAAUUUAGACACUUGGCUGGCAGAUGGCGGAUGGCCUUGGGAGGCUGUACCAUUUGCUUAGAAUGCAGGGUUUGAAGUCUCUCUUCACCAGUCAUUUCAAAAAUGAGCCUCACUUAGAAUUUCACAGAAGCAAAUAAGCCUGUAGUUAAAAUCCUGGUGAAAUAACCACUUGUUUAGUAUUUAUUUACAGCCCAGAAACCCAGCAGGUACAAUCUCAGGUGUACUUCAGCUUAAAAGCAAAUCCUGCAGUUCCCUGAGAUGUCCUGUUUUCUGGGCAUCUAGAAAGAUACAUUUGAAGACCGGCGUCUUCCCAGCCCCCGGCCCCAUGACAGAAAUAAAAAACGAGGAAAGAAUUUUUCUCUCUAAUUUGUAAAGCAAACAAGAGAAAUAAAAAGAGCAGGAGGAAGCCAGCUGCUGGAAUGAUACCCAAAUAGAACAAUUCUCAAUAGGUGAGAAAUCACAGCAUGAUGAAGCCGGAAUGAGGGUGGUGUCCAGGCUCUCGGAACUUGCAGCUCAUAUGUAAGUGGAAGGAAGCAUCAAGGGGUGAUUGAGGGACCCUGAUGACAGGAUGAGAUGAAAACUAAUGGUUCGUCUUUGCACAGAGCACAAGAGCACAGCCUGCUGAGAAGGCUCUCUGUCAAUCACGGACACCGGAUGGGAUAAUUCUGGAACUGCAGGGUCAGGGAGGGUUACCUGCAGCCCCUCAUUCUCAGCAUGGCCAGAGAUGCUGAGGGAGUUGCCUCUCCCUACCAGCAAGGCCAGUGGGCACCAGGACACGCACCUCCACGUUGCCAUCUUCAAUGUGCUAGCCAGUGUGGGCUGAUGUGCUGUAAACUUUCAGUGAAGUGCAAGCACUCAGUCACGAUGGGACAGAGGGAGAACAAACACAGCUAAUCAAAAGAGAGCUCACCUUCACUGUGCCUUUUCCUCUGUGCCGAGAGCUGUGCUGGGACCUUUAUGAACGUUAUCUCUGAAUCCCCAAAGUGCCCCUAUCAAAGAUGUACUUUCCCCAUUCCACAUGGAAAGACACUAACUUUGCAAAAAUACAGCAGAUAGCAAAACUGGCCUUUAAUCCUGAGAGUUCUGCUUCCACAGCUUAUGCUCUAAACUUCUAGCUAUGCUGUCUUGCAGCAAAGAGAACCCCUUCAUUGCAAGUAAUUGAAUGAAGCCCUCCUAUGUUGUGGAAGACAUGGAACAAAGAAAUGUGUGUGACUCAAAUGCUUCCCUGGUGAGAGCUGCUUGGUUCCUUUAGGGUUCCACCACAACACACUGAGAAGCAGGGUUUCUCCCCUCUCCCUUUUUUUUUUUUGGUUGAAGUAUAGUUGAUUUAUAAUGUUAUGUUAGUUUCUGGUGUACAGCAUAGUGAUUCAGUCAUACACACACACACAUACACAAAUAUAUAUGUAUAUAUAGACACACAUUCUUUUUCAUAUUCUUUUUCAUUAUAGGUUUUACAAAGUAUUAAAUAUUUUUUCCUGUGCUAUAGAGUAGGACCUUAUUGUUUAGCUAUUUUAUAUAUAGUAGUUUAUAUCUUGUAAUCCCAAGGUUUUAAUUUAUCCUUCUCCUCCCCCUUCCCCCUUUGGUAACAAUAAAUUUGUUUUCUAUG